rnacentral:rRNA from 1 species
CGAACGGCAGCUUCAACUUCGGUUGAAGGCGAGUGGCGACCUGGUGAGUAACACGUAUGCAACUUACCCCUAACUGGGGCAUAGCUCCGAGAAAUCGGAAUUAAUUCCCCAUAAUAUCUAAAAAUGACAUCAUUUUAAGAUUAAAGCUUUGGCGGUUAGGGAUGGGCAUGCGGUCCAUUAGCUUGUUGGUGAAGGUAACGGCUCACCAAGGCAACGAUGGAUAGCUGGUCUGAGAGGAUGAUCAGCCACACUGGCACUGAGACACGGGCCAGACUCCUACGGGAGGCAGCAGUAGGGAAUAUUGGUCAAUGGGCGAAAGCCUGAACCAGCCAUGCCGCGUGAAGGAUUGACGGUUCUAUGAAUUGUAAACUUCUUUUGUUUGGGAAGAACAAGUCCUUUUCUAAGGAAACUGACGGUACCAAACGAAUAAGCACCGGCUAACUCCGUGCCAGCAGCCGCGGUAAUACGGAGGGUGCAAGCGUUAUCCGGAUUUACUGGGUUUAAAGGGUGCGUAGGUGGUUAAGUAAGUUAGUGGUGAAAUCCUACAGCUCAACUGUAGAACUGCCAUUAAAACUGCUUAACUUGAGUAUAGAUGAGGCGGGUGGAAUGCAACAUGUAGCGGUGAAAUGCUUAGAUAUGUUACAGAACACCAAUUGCGAAGGCAGCUCGCUAGACUAUCACUGACACUGAGGCACGAAAGC